UACGGAGGGUGCAAGCGUUAUCCGGAUUCACUGGGUUUAAAGGGUGCGUAGGUGGGUCUGUAAGUCCGUGGUGAAAUCUCUGAGCUUAACUCAGAAACUGCCGUGGAUACUAUUUGCCUUGAAUAUUGUGGAGGUGAGCGGAAUAUGUCAUGUAGCGGUGAAAUGCUUAGAUAUGACAUAGAACACCAAUUGCGAAGGCAGCUCACUACUCAAUCAUUGACGCUGAGGCACGAAAGCGUGGGGAUCAAACAGG
rnacentral:rRNA from 1 species